rnacentral:rRNA from 1 species
CCUACGGGAGGCUGCAGUGAGGAAUAUUGGUCAAUGGGCGCGAGCCUGAACCAGCCAAGUAGCGUGAAGGAUGACUGCCCUACGGGUUGUAAACUUCUUUUAUAAAGGAAUAAAGUGAGGCACGUGUGCCUUUUUGUAUGUCCUUUAUGAAUAAGGCUCGGCUCACUCCGUGCCAGCAGCCGCGGUAAUACGGAGGAUCCGAGCGUUAUCCGGAUUUAUUGGGUGUAACGGGAGCGUAGAUGGGUUGUUAAGUCAGUUGUGAAAGUGUGCGGCUCAACCGUAAAAUUGCAAUUGAUACUGGUAGCCUUGAGUACAGUGGAGGUAGGCGGAAUUCGUGGUGUAGCGGUGAAAUGCGUAGAUAUCACGAAGAACUCCGAUUGCGAAGGCAGCUUACUAAACUGCCACUGACAUUGAUGCUCGAAAGUGUGGGUAUCAAACAGGAUUAGAUACCCGUGUAGUC